rnacentral:rRNA from 17 species
CACCUGAUCCCAUCCCGAACUCAGCAGUGAAACGAUGCAUCGCCGAUGGUAGUGUGGGGUUUCCCCAUGUGAGAGUAGGUCAUCGUCAAGA